GGGAAGAUGCCGGAGUGGUCGAACGGGACGGAUUCGAAAUCCGUUGUAUCCGCGAGGGUACCUAGGGUUCAAAUCCCUAUCUUCCCGCCA
rnacentral:tRNA from 1 species